rnacentral:sRNA from 1 species
UUGGCCCGGCCUGUCUCUCAGUCAGUGGCGGCUGCUGCCUGCUCUGGAGGCAGGCUGGGCGGUGGCGGCCGAGACUGGCGGGGGUGGACGCCCGGGCCGGGCUGCGCCCGCUUCUUGCAGCUGUGAAUUCCUUUGGACAAUUGAUGAUAUUUAUCAUUGUGCCCAGUUUCUACAAAUAAAAGAUGGGUGGAUUAUUUUCUCGAUGGAGGCAAGACUUGCCAUGACACUCCCAUUUUUUGCUUUUCCAUUGAU